AUAUGUGAGGGCGAUCUGGCUACAACAUCUCUCACAUCACUGAUUGCCAGGGUUGAUUCAGCUUAUCUGGCUGGCCGGAUGGGUGUCCACUUCCUCCCUCACCGCUAGAGGUACUUCCCUCCCUAAGCUGUGAUCUUGGAACGACCUUACCUGAUAGAGGAGGACUGUUCCUCAGCCAAAAGUGGAUCUGUGCUCCCUUGCUAGAACCUCCAAACAAACUCUCCAUUUUACUUAGCUCCUUAACAUGAUUCAUUUACUCCUUUGAUAUUACUUACAGGUCAAAAGAUUCUUUUCCUAGCAAAUAGAAAGCAUUU
rnacentral:snRNA from 1 species